GAUGAAGAACGCAGCGAAAUGCGAUAAGUAAUGUGAAUUGCAGAAUUCAGUGAAUCAUCGAAUCUUUGAACGCACAUUGCGCCCCUUGGUAUUCCGAGGGGCAUGCCUGUUCGAGCGUCAUUUCAACCAUCAAGCCCCCGGCUUGUGUUGGGGACCUGCGGCUGCCGCAGGCCCUGAAAAGCAGUGGCGGGCUCGCUGUCACACCGAGCGUAGUAGCAUACAUCUCGCUCUGGGCGUGCUGCGGGUUCCGGCCGUUAAACCACCUUCAUAACCCAAGGUUGACCUCGGAUCAGGUAGGAAGACCCGCUGAACUUAAGCAUAUCAAUAAGCGGAGGA
rnacentral:misc_RNA from 1 species